AUUGAACGCUGGCGGCAUGCCUUACACAUGCAAGUCGAACGGCAGCACGGGAGCAAUCCUGGUGGCGAGUGGCGAACGGGUGAGUAAUACAUCGGAACGUGCCCAGUAGUGGGGGAUAGCCCGGCGAAAGCCGGAUUAAUACCGCAUACGACCUACGGGUGAAAGCGGGGGAUCGCAAGACCUCGCGCUAUUGGAGCGGCCGAUGGCAGAUUAGGUAGUUGGUGAGGUAAAGGCUCACCAAGCCAACGAUCUGUAGCUGGUCUGAGAGGACGACCAGCCACACUGGGACUGAGACACGGCCCAGACUCCUACGGGAGGCAGCAGUGGGGAAUUUUGGACAAUGGGCGCAAGCCUGAUCCAGCCAUGCCGCGUGCGGGAAGAAGGCC
rnacentral:rRNA from 1 species